AGCGAACGUUAGCGGCGGGCCUAACACAUGCAAGUCGAACGCGAAAGGUCUUCGGACUGAGUAGAGUGGCGCACGGGUGAGUAACACGUAGGUAAUCUACCCUUUGGCGGGGGAUAACGUUCCGAAAGGAGCGCUAAUACCGCAUAAGACCACGGAGUCUCCGGACGCUGUGGGAAAAGGUGGCCUCUUCUUGAAAGCUACCACCGAAGGAUGAGCCUGCGUCCCAUCAGCUAGUUGGUAAGGUAAUGGCUUACCAAGGCGAAGACGGGUAGCUGGUUUGAGAGAAUGAUCAGCCACACUGGCACUGGAACACGGGCCAGACUCCUACGGGAGGCAGCAGUGAGGAAUAUUGGGCAAUGGGCGAAAGCCUGACCCAGCCACGCCGCGUGAGUGAUGAAGGCCCUCGGGUCGUAAAGCACUUUAAGCGGGGAGAAGGCCUGAUGGAUAAUACCCAUUGGGAUUGACGUUACCCGCAGAAUAAGCACCGGCAAACUUCGUGCCAGCAGCCGACGG
rnacentral:rRNA from 1 species